rnacentral:misc_RNA from 1 species
AAGUCGUAACAAGGUUUCCGUAGGUGAACCUGCGGAAGGAUCAUUAACACUUUUUAAUUAAAUUUCUUUUUCUAGAAAUUUAUAAAACCCCACAAUUUUGGAUGAAUUUAAUUAUUUAAUUUUAAUUUUUUUUAAAUUUUUUUAUACAACUAAAAUAUUUUGGACUAAAAUCUUUUUUUAUAAAUUUUUAUAUAAUUUAAAAAACAACUCUUAACAACGGAUAUCUUGGCUCUC